CCAGCAAUCCUACGAGAGUCUCCCCUGCAUCAUCCACCCAGCUAUCCCACGAGAGUCUCCCGUGCAUCCACCCUGCAAUCCUACUAGAGUUUCCCCUGCAUCCACCCUGCAAUCCUACAAGAGUUUCCCCUGCAUCCACCCUGCAAUCCUACUAGAGUUUCCCCUGCAUCCACCCUGCAAUCCUACUAGAGUUUCCCCUGCAUCCACCCAGCAAUCCUACGAGAGAGAGUCUCCCGUGCAUCCACCCAACUACCCCACGAGAGUCUCCCCUGCACUCACCCAGCAAUCCUACGAGAGUCUCCCCUGCACCAACAGAGCAAUGUUUCCCCCAGGAUAGCUGGAGCUCGUCAAGCAGUUAUACUCGGUAAAGCGAAUGAUUAGAGGACUUGGGGACGAAAUGUUCUUAACCUAUUCUCAAACUCUAAAUGGGUAUGAACCAGAGGAAACUCUGGUGGAAGUCCGAAGCGAUUCUGACGUGCAAAUCGAUCGUCUGACUUGGGUAUAGGGGCGAAAGACUAAUCGAACCAUCUAGUAGCUGGUUCCCUCCGAAGUUUCCAAGGUGCCAAAGUGCCCGCUCAUUAGACCCCAUAAAAGGUGUUGGUUGAUAUAGACAGCAGGACGGUGGCCAUGGAAGUCGGAAUCCGCUAAGGAGUGUGUAACAACUCACCUGCCGAAUCAACUAGCCCUGAAAAUGGAUGGCGCUGGAGCGGGCCACCUAUACUCUGCCGUCAUUGGCUUGUACGCCACUGCUGUGGACAGUCUGGCCAUGACGUGUAGGAGGGUCGUGGUGGUUGCGUUGAAGGCUUUGGGCGUGGGCCCGGCCGGAGCUUCCACCAGUGCAGAUCUUGGUGGUAGUAGCAAAUAUUCAAGUGAGAUCCUUGAAGACUGAAGUGGAGAAGGGUUCUGAGACUGCCAAGGCACACAGGGGAUAGGG
rnacentral:ncRNA from 1 species